rnacentral:lncRNA from 1 species
UGAGCUCUGUGGUCGGCAGCCAGGGGCACUUGGCCACCUUGGCCCCAAGUCUUUGGAAGGUCCUCCUUUUUUGUCCUCCACUUCUUGGUGGAGUUGUACUCCUAGGAGAAUCCACCAGCUGAACUCCUGGCCCAGCUGGAGCAAGCUGAGCCCACUGAGGCACAGUCCACGGGACCAGCUCCAGCCCCAGCUGAAGUCCCACAUGUGGAGCCCAAGCCAGCUCCACCUGCAGCUUCCUGCCCAGUGCUGGGACCACAGCCAGAGUCCGUGGCAGCCCCUUCACCUGCUGCAGUGCUGGGGCACCCGGUGGUUGCACGGUGGUCGGUGUCACCUCCUGAGCUCCGCCUGGGGCCAGCUCCUGGCCCCCUCCCACUGUUCCCCUCACUUAUGCUGGCUCUUGUUUUGGUAUUUACAAUUGCCCUUAUUUCUUGG